UUCACCCACCACCUUCACCCUCCCAACUCCACCCCACAGUCACUACACACACACAGGGUGGACAGAGAGGACGAAACAGCAGCGGUCGGUUGGCUUGCUUCUCCUGGUUGUGGUGUUUCUCCAGGUGCUGUUGUCCAGCCAACUACUACUCCAGGUACCAGUGUCUUUCUGUACCUGGGUUUCAUGUGCCAGUACAGUAACCAAGGGUGAUCACAAAUAGCAUCCUAUUCUCUAUGUAGUGCACUACUCUGACCAGGGCCCAGACACUAGUACACUAUAUAGGCCCGUGGUGUAAAGUAGUGCACUAUAUAGGGAAUAGGGUGCCAUUUGGGACUCAACCCAAAGAUGACUAGACACCAAACAACGUAUCAGACAUUGGCCAAAAACAACAUAAAGAGGGAAGCUGGUAUAACAUAAUAAUAAUAAUAAUAAUAAUAAUAAUAAUAAUAAUAAUAAUAAUAAUAAUAAUAAUAAUAAUAUUGGAGUUACUGUGCCAAUGAAGCUGAUUCCAGAACCAGAACCAGAGGUUGGGUUGGCUGUACCCGAGCCUGGGUGAGGUGGAUUGGUUCACCCUCAGCUGGAUCCAAAACAUCCUAGUUGAUUCAGCCAGCCGGUUGGUUGGUUUGGAAUCUGAUCAAGAGAGAAUAGAUACUGCAGAGAAUGUUCCGGUACUCAAUACUAUUAUCAGGUUGGAGAGCUACAUCCCAAAUGGCACUGUAAAGUAGUGCCCUGUGGAGGGAAUAGGAUCCAUAAAGUAGUGCCCUGUGGAGGGAAUAGGAUCCAUAAAGUAGUGCCCUGUGGAGGGAAUAGGAUCCAUAAAGUAGUGCCCUGUGGAGGGAAUAGGAUCCAUAAAGUAGUGCCCUGUGGAGGGAAUAGGAUCCAUAAAGUAGUGCCCUGUGGAGGGAAUAGGAUCCAUAAAGUAGUGCCCUGUGGAGGGAAUAGGAUCCAUAAAGUAGUGCCCUGUGGAGGGAAUAGGAUCCAUAAAGUAGUGCCCUGUGGAGGGAAUAGGAUCCAUUUGGGAAACGUUUAGGUGUUGGACAGUAACCUGGACAGAUGACAGCACAGGACACGUCUAGGUGUUGGACAGAUGACAGUGGCAUGGACACAUCUAGGUAUUGGACAGAUGACAGCAGUAUGGGCAAUUGCAGGUGUUGGACCGAUGACAGCGCAGGAAAAUGUCUAGGUGUUGGACAAUUGACAGCGGUAUAGACACGUCUAGGUGUUUUUACAGAUGACAGUGGUAUGGAGACAUCUAAGUGUUGGAAAGAUGACAGUGGUAUGGACACGACUAGGUGUUGGACAGAAGACAGCGGUAUGGACAAUUGUAGGUGUUGGACCGAUGACAGCGCAGGAAAACGUCUAGGUGUUGGACAGAUGACAGCAGUAUGGACACGUCUAGGUGUUGGACAGAUGACAGCACAUGACACGUCUAGGUGUUGGACAGAUGACAGCACAUGACACGUCUAGGUGUUGGACAGAUGACAGCACAUGACACGUCUAGGUGUUGGACAGAUGACAGCAGUAUGGACACGUCUAGGUGUUGGACAGAUGACAGCACAUGACACGUCUAGGUGUUGGACAGAUGACAGCAGUAUGGACACGUCUAGGUGUUGGACAGAUGACAGCAGUAUGGACGCGUCUAGGUGUUGGACAGAUGACAGCAGCAUGGACACGUCUAGGUGUUGGACAGAUGACAGCAGUAUGGACACGUCUAGGUGUUGGACAGAUGACAGCAGUAUGGACACGUCUAGGUGCUGGACAGAUGACAGCAGUAUGGACACGUCUAGGUGUUGGACAGAUGACAGCACAUGACACGUCUAGGUGUUGGACAGAUGACAGCACAUGACACGUCUAGGUGUUGGACAGAUGACAGCAGUAUGGACACGUCUAGGUGUUGGACAGAUGACAGCAGUAUGGACACGUCUAGGUGUUGGACAGAUGACAGCAGUAUGGACACGUCUAGGUGUUGGACAGAUGACAGCAGUAUGGACGCGUCUAGGUGUUGGACAGAUGACAGCAGCAUGGACACGUCUAGGUGUUGGACAGAUGACAGCAGUAUGGACACGUCUAGGUGUUGGACAGAUGACAGCAGUAUGGACACGUCUAGGUGCUGGACAGAUGACAGCAGUAUGGACAUGUCUAGGUGUUGGACAGAUGACAGCACAUGACACGUCUAGGUGUUGGACAGAUGACAGCACAUGACACGUCUAGGUGUUGGACAGAUGACAGCAGUAUGGACACGUCUAGGUGUUGGACAGAUGACAGCAGUAUGGACACGUCUAGGUGUUGGACAGAUGACAGCAGUAUGGACACGUCUAGGUGUUUUUCCUCUUCUUCUGUUUCUCCAGAUGAUGAAUGACUUGUUGUACCAACAUGUUCAUCUUUUUCUUGUCUGUCGUUAGUCUUGUGAACAAAACGUCUGGCCAAAUAGAAAAAUGCCUGCAAAAAAAGACAUGGGAAAGACAAGGUUUUAGAGCAACAGUAAGUGUUUCAUGAUUGGGCUGAAUAGUUCCUGUGAAAACGUUGACAAAGUGUUUCAUGAUUGGGCUGAAUAGUUCCUGUGAAAACGUUGACAAAGUGUUUAAUGAUUGGGCUGAAUAGUUCCACAUAUCUCCACCAUUUGUACGAUGACAUCAUAAGAGAUUCCAAAACAACUUUAUGAAAAGGCGUAAACUCAGACUCACUCUCUCACCACCUGUUUUUUUUCUUCCCAGUAUGCCUAGAGCUCAUUGUGAGGUGGCCCGAAAAGAUAUAAGCAUGUUAGUGCUGUCUGUCUCGCACUUCUGUACAAUGUCCUUCUCUCACUCUCUCUUUCUGAAUUCUUUGAAUGCAUUAAUGCGUAGUUGCUGUAUUUGGUUUGGUUUGGUUCUUUGUAUCAUGGCCUUUAUCAGUUCUGAAUUAGAGCCAAAAUGGAUGACAAAAAAAAAAGGUGCAUUUUUGUUCAUUAAUGAAUGAACCUGGUGCUGAACGCUGAUUCAAAGGUGCUACCACCACAGAGACUGCGGAGUCUCUCGCUGUCUCCCUCCCGCGGGGUUCUCUCUCUCAUUCGAUCAGAGCAUGGCCUUGCCCUCUGCCAUCUGAGGGACCUGCCUGCCUGCCUCCAGAAACACUUGCAGACACUCAAUGCUCGGGGAGAACAAGCAGAGACCUCAACCCCUCACGGUUUACAGCGAAACACAACUCUUAAAACAAGGUGCGACCACUUUAGGAUUUCUCAUUCAAUCUGCACAAAACAACUACAACAACAACAGCAGUUAUCCUGUGUUUAAUGCAAUGUUUUAUUAUCAUAAUGUUUUAAGCUUUUAAUUUCAAUUGUAAAUGAUUCAAUCUGCACUAGGAUUAUUUAUUUAUUUUGUUUCAAGAGGAUAAAGUAAAGAAACAAACAAAGAUAAUUCAUAAAUCUAAAAUAAAAUAAAUAAAUAAUAAAUAAAUAAACCCAGGCCAGAGGUAUAAAGCUGUUCUGAUCAAAGGAAUGUGGGUCAAAGUAUAGAAGGUGAUUGCUGUGUCGUACUACUCCUGUCGUCUCUGUGUCCUAAACAUGUACGUAUAUAUUUCUGUUGUUACUGUAGAAUUGGCUGUAAUAUUUUGUUAAAAGAUGGAUUUAGUAUUCCAAUCAAGGUGACUAUGGUUAUCAAUUAAGGUAUGAAUUGCUGCUGAUUUUAUUAAAGUGUUAUCGAUGCCGUUGGGGAAUAUUGGUUGGUUAAAUAUUCAUUACAUUUUUUUAGAUUGUGAUAGAUUGUUAAUGUAUUUCACAAUUCUAUUGGGAAACUCCUAUAUAGUUUGUCUGGGGGUAUUCAAAAAGGUUGGCACAAUGUCAGUUAGCAAACUCUCUGCUACAAGCCGCAGCAUUUUUAUGAAAAUGAAAUACUCAAACAACUGUUGAGACAAAUAAUGAUUUAUUAAAUAUAAAAAUGUAAGUAAAUAGUUUCAUGGAAUCCCCGUUCUUUAAAAAAAAAAACAGAAACUGAUGUCCACUUGUUCUAAGCCCUUAUUUUUGGGAACAAUAUGAAUAUUAGGAAACACAUGGUGCUAAAGUUCUAUUUGUAUGUUUUGGUUUUUAGAUGAAAAAUAUGAAUAUUAUGCGGAGAAAUGUCAUGUCAAGCCUUACUGUAGAUUGCCAUAUCAGGCUGUUCAUAAUCCCAGAAGAGAAAAUACAUAUAGUCUUUGAAAGUGAAAACAAAUAUACCAGAUUAUAUUGUAUACUGUAUUCACCUUUUGACAGAUCGAACAUGUAUAUGUACUUAUGUGUGUGAUGUAUGAUAUAAAACAGUAACGAUA